GAUGAACGCUGGCGGCGUGCCUAACACAUGCAAGUCGAACGAAGCACUUUGAUUGAUUCUUCGGAUGAAUGAUAAGUGACUGAGUGGCGGACGGGUGAGUAACGCGUGGGUAACCUGCCUCAUACAGGGGGAUAACAGUUAGAAAUGACUGCUAAUACCGCAUAAGCGCACAGAGCUGCAUGGCUCCGUGUGAAAAACUCCGGUGGUAUGAGAUGGACCCGCGUCUGAUUAGCUAGUUGGUGAGGUAAUGGCUCACCAAGGCGACGAUCAGUAGCCGGCCUGAGAGGGUGAACGGCCACAUUGGGACUGAGACACGGCCCAAAUCCUACGGGAGGCAGCAGUGGGAAUAUUGCACAAUGGGGGGAAAACCCUGGAAUGCAGCGACGCCGCGUGAGUGAAGAAGUAUUUCGGUAUGUAAAGCUCUAUCAGCAAGGANAAAAUGACGGUACUUGACUAGAAG
rnacentral:rRNA from 1 species